AUGCAGGGACGGCCAGAACAGGCGGCGAUGGGGCUCGCAGCGGAGGUCCAGGAGCCCGACGCGACGGCGAAGGACGACGGCGGGCGACGCAGGGACUCCGGCAGGCGGGACUUGGCGCAGGAGGAUGGCCGGGGUGCACGGAGCGGUGACGGAGAGGCGUGGUCGCGGAAGGCCGGGCGCGGGGUCGAGGCAGAGGCGACCGGCGAGGCAGGAGCAGAGCAGGAGAGACGGCGUGGGAGGAAGGUUGGGCGCGCGGCGCGGCCGGUGCUCGAGGAGGCCGACGAGGGGGCGCGAGCUUAG
rnacentral:rRNA from 1 species